UUUGUGGAAAAUAAUUAUCCGAACAGCUUAAUUUCAAUGAAGAGAGCGGCGAUAUCAGUUUCCGUUCUGAAAAGGAAGGUUCCGUUUAUUUUUGGGGCCUCUUGGCGAUUUGCUGUGCCACACUAACCAGUGGUUUCGCCGGAGUCUACAAUGAGAAAUUAAUUAAAAAUGGAAAGCAACCUUCCCUGUUAAUAAGAAGUAUUCAACUUAGUUUGUUCUCUGUUUUCUUCGCCUUUUGGGGCGUCCUGUUAAAAGACGGUGAUCUCGUCAGCACACAAGGGUAUUUUGAUGGAUGCAGUCCAUUUGUGUGGUUAAUAGCAACGAUGCAGGCCCUCGGAGGAAUAAUCGUGGCGGG